rnacentral:rRNA from 1 species
CUGGCACCUUCGGUGUCCGAGUUGUAAUUUGAAGAAGGUAACCUUGGGGUUGGCUCUUGUCUAUGUUUCUUGGAACAGAACGUCACAGAGGGUGAGAAUCCCGUGCGAUGAGAUGCCCAAUUCUAUGUAAGGUGCUUUCGAAGAGUCGAGUUGUUUGGGAAUGCAGCUCUAAGUGGGUGGUAAAUUCCAUCUAAAGCUAAAUAUUGGCGAGAGACCGAUAGCGAACAAGUACAGUGAUGGAAAGAUGAAAAGAACUUUGAAAAGAGAGUGAAAAAGUACGUGAAAUUGUUGAAAGGGAAGGGUAUGAGAUCAGACUUGGUGUUUUGCAACCUUACUCUCGGGUGGGGCCCCUGCAGUUCAUCGGGCCAGCAUCAGUUUGGAUGGUAGGAUAAUGGCAUUGGAAUGUAGCUUGGCUUCGGUUAAGUGUUAUAGCCUUUGUUGAUACUGCCUG